rnacentral:rRNA from 1 species
UACGUAGGGCGCAAGCGUUGUCCGGAAUUAUUGGGCGUAAAGAGCUCGUAGGCGGUCUGUCGCGUCCGUUGUGAAAACUCGAGGCUCAACCUCGGGCCUGCAGUGGGUACGGGCAGACUGGAGUGCGGUAGGGGAGAAUGGAAUUCCUGGUGUAGCGGUGGAAUGCGCAGAUAUCAGGAGGAACACCGAUUGCGAAGGCAAUCCCCUGGACCUGUACUGACGCUCAUGCACGAAAGCGUGGGGAGCAAACAGG